CUGAAGAUGCAGUGGGAAGGAGCAAGGCUACUUGAAAAAGAAGAGUACCAAAGUCCGGUACGACUGGGCAAAAUUGGGCAUUUUAAAGUCUUUGCUCCGUUCCUGUUACACGAUAGCGAGCAAAGAGGGGCAGCUGUAACACCUUAUUUUGGCCCGGGUCUAAAGGGCCAGAAUUGCAAAUGGGUUUAUGUGGCCCAAAACCCGAAAUACAACAGGGGCCCAAAGCUCAAUGGCCCAAAUCAUUUGCAGAAACCUUAGGGUUUCUGAGGAAGCCUUUGCGUCGCAGCCACGAGCGUCCUCGGUCUUCACCUGCGCAUCAAGGAAAA
rnacentral:lncRNA from 1 species